UCUGCCCUGGAAUUUGGCUGCUGAGCUCAGUCUUUCCUCAAGGGAAGAAGAUGUACACUGGUGUCUGUAAGUCCCAGCUUGCAGCUGCAGUUCCCUUUCAAGACAGAUUUCUGCAACACUUCUGCCAAACCCUGACCAGCAAUCACAAGAAACAGAUGUUUGGUUGUUGAGGCACCAGAGCACCGGGUGCUGGAAGAGGCAUUUAUGGAUGACCUGCUGUUCCGUAUCGGUGCCUCUGGGGGUGCCACCAAGCUGCGCUGGAGGUGCAGCAGCUGCUGUGUCACCAUGGGGUGCUUGGGGUAAUGGCUGUCAUUUGCUGGACGGGUGGGAGUCACAAUGGUCUUCUGCUCAGUCACCAGCUGGUCCCUGCCACACGCCAUGGAGAUUGAUAUAAAUCAAACCCUUUCUGCAGUGGGGGCCUUGGGAAAACAAAUGGAUGUUUUCAAGUACAAGAAAGGAAGUGUCAGAGAUGCAGCCCUGACAGGCUGGCAGUGAGCUGGAGGGUUGUCAUGCUGCUUGAGCUGAAUGCUGAAGGAAGUCAUGAACACAUGAGAACAUCUCUGGGAGCAUUGGAAGAGUGAUCCAAGGCUAGAGCAAGACAAAGGACACAUCUUCCCUUAUUGUUUAUGUGAGCUUCGGGCUGAAAUAACAGCUGGGGAAGAGACAUAAUCUGCCGCUGAAGACACCCAGGCCACACACCACCCAAGAAAGCAGCUCGUAGUGAACUACCAUUUACAGGCUUCCAGCAGACAGGAGACCUUCAAGCUCAGAGAACUCCUAUUAUAUGUCUCAUUUUGAACUGGUGAACCUUUACAAGCAGGUGGAUCAAAUGAUAUUCUUGGUAUCCUUCAUCCUUUUUGCUGAUGAUCUAGAUUUGCUUCUUGUUAUAUCCUCAAAGUGUGUCUGCAUGGUUAAGAUUAGUCUUUUGGAGUUGGUCUCGGGGGUGGACGAACAGAAAACCAAUCCAGAGUAUUGGAUGUUCACACCCCUUGGCAAUUCAGGGCACACAGGGGUUCUUGUACCCAGUACUGAGCAGAACAUCCAGGACCUUUUUCUUAGAAUGAAAAAUAAAAGUGAUAAGGAAAAGUUCUCUCUGGAGUGCAUUUUUCUGGACUACCAUUUUUCUGUGUGAUGUCUGCUGCCUGAAAACAAAAUGCAAAGACUGUCUCAUCCCAUGCCUGGUGGGAGCUUAGUCAGAAUAGUCAGUGACUCUGUUUUGGAUAUUUCUACAAACACAAAAGGGACAGGUAAAGAUGGUUCAACAGCAAUCAGAUCUACAUUCAUUUUUGUACGUUCUGUAAAAAAAAUGAAACAAGACAACAAAAUAAAGAAGAAAAAUGUAAUUUCUAUUUUGAUAAAUCUGGAUUAGUAAAGUUCCCCAGUGUAAAUCACUCAUGAAGCAUUAAUUUUUAUGCCAGUCAAGGAAAAUUAAGUGGCCUAAUCACAGUACAUGUUCCCCACUUCAAGAACUGCAGAGCUUUUCCUGUAUUUGGUUGGAGGCUAUUCCAUUUGGCUGGAUUCUUUUGACACUGUUUUGCCUGUGUGUGCAAUUAAAAGACUUUUUUUUAUUAACCAGUUUUUACAUUACACUCAGUGGCCCCGUCACACAACUAAAUGACCCGUUUAACAAGCAUGAUAAAAUCCUCAUUAGGGCCUAUUAUAGGAUUUAGUGGAAUCUUCCUGCUUCACUACAGCACAAGCCUAAUCUAAUUAACUCUGCCACUUAAUUCUCUCCCUCCCUCUUCUUGCUGUUUAUUGGGCUUUUUGUGGGAAAGAGAUCCAAGGAACACAAUUAACGUAAUUUAUCCUGGAAAAUCCCCAAACAUUAGCAAGCUACAAAUGUAAUUGGAAAAGGCCUCACAGAGUUCAUGCAUACUAGGCAAUUACUCCAAAACUACAGCACUGUGUAUUAUCAUGUUACUUCUUAUUAUACUUUCUGAAGAUGAGCAAGGAGGUAAUUCUAACAAGCGCAUUCAAAGCCGUAAUUAAGGGUCAUCUUUGGGUUUGAACAGCUUUCAUGUUUAAUUGAGGAAAGAUGUGUGCCUUCAGGAAUUAAGCAUUUUGCUAGGAUGUGCAAAAUGUAAAGGAAGUGAGUGUUGUGUUCUUGAGCUCAUUGGUAUAAAUGACUCUGCUCUUCAGAACUGAAGAUGUGGACAGUUGUUGGGACUCCUAGUUAGAUACCUGUAAGGUGAGGCUGGUGUCUGGAUGAAAAACUUCUGAUGCUUCUGUGUUAAAAUAGGUGUAAAUGUGGCUGGUAUGGGAAUGUGGUCCAAGAUGCAUGUGGGAGAGUGGUCAAGAGGUGGGUGGUGGUGUAGAAACAUACAGGUCUUGUCUAGCUCUUCAUUUUAGUAUAAUUUCUAGUUCUCACAUGUUUGUAAAAAUGGGAAAGAAGCCAAAUUAACUUCUUUUAGAUGGACAAAAGGAGAUAAGCACAAAGGAUUGCCCAAGUCAUCCCUUACUUAGAGAGAGUUGAUUUUACAUGUGUUUGCAAAUAAACCAUGUGUGGACCUUGACUUUCACCUCCUGGAAGAAAUUAGCCAAAUCCCUUGGCUAAACUGAGCUGCAGUCAUGAGUGACAAGCAAAUAAUUGAAGGAUAGAAUGAAGCAGAAUUAGGUCCACAUCUCCCAUCUUUCUCUGAAAUGAGAGAGGGGAAUUUUUUAGUCUUGUAUGGAUUUGGUCUCUUUUGAAGUUGUCAAAUCAGGGCAAGCUGCCUUUUGGGCAAUGUGCUUUAAUGCCACUCUGAGUACUAGGUGGAAUUAUCUCAUUUGCAUUAUGCAGGGAGUUAGACAAGAUCACAUGGUGUUCCCUUGGAAUUUUCAGUACUAGAUGGCAUUAAUCUUGCUUAUUAACUUGGGCCUUGGUUUUUGGAAGCUUGACUCCCAGGGAAGUUCAAAUCUGAUUUCCUUGAAUGUAGAAAGCUUUUGAAAGAUUAGACAUAGUUGCUGCCGUUCCUUCUGGAAACCCCACUUUUGGUCCAUCUUCUUUAGCACAGCUUCCUCUAAUAGUAAGAAUUUGUAAGGAUGUAACCUGAGGAUAAUCAGACGCUGAAACUCUAGUGGAAAGGAUCAGAAACCAAGGCUGAGCUACACAAUAGCCUCCUUACCCAGGAGCAAGGGAGUUAUUGUGUCUAAGCCAAAUUCUUUAAUGAAUCAAUGCAUUUUGAAUAAUAAUAAUUAUCCAUGUGGUGAAGAAAACCCUUAAUUAGUUUGCAAUGAUCUGAGAGGCAUGGUGUGCCCACACACAGCUGCUCUGGCAUGUGUGGAUCAAAUCAACAAGAAUAUCUCAAGCAUGUCUGUAUAUUUUUUGGGAGACCUGGUGUCUAAAAAAUGCGAUUAGCAGCAGGCAUUGUGGAAUCUCUGCUGAUGUGCAGAAGGAUUGCUCCUAUCAGUUCUCACAAACCAUGUCAGGACAGUGAGUGAGGUUUGACAGUCUGGCACAGAAGAGGUUGAUACACUGGGGGCAGGUCACAGGCACAUCCCACUGCCUGGAAUUAAGCUCUGUCCUCCCCACUGAUCGUCCUCCUGAGCACAUAACACUGAGUUUGCCCUGUCUUGCUGUUUUGUAGGCAUGCACCAGAGUCAGAGCAGGCAUUUUGGGGCCAAAGAAAGACACAGCUUAUGUGCCCAGUGGUAGGUAGGACUAGGUGACCUCCAGAGGUCCCAUCCCACCAACAUUUCUGUGAUCCUGUGUCUCUAUUUUUUUGCUAAGUAGGCUCCAUAACAAUAAAAUUGAUGUGUCAAUUUAUUAUCCUUGGAAUGGGUUUAAAUAAGUUGAAAGAAAAAAUGCUUUGAUAUUUAAAACUGUUAAUGUGCUCCAUAAAAGCAGGUUUAUUUAUUUUUUUUUUUUGACUUCCAGCUUUGUUUUUAUUUUCAGGUUAAGUAAAAUACUGGUAUGAUUUCACAUUACAAUGAGGUCACUGAAAAUACAGUUGUGGUAAGCCAAUAGAAUCUGAUAACCUGAGUGUUUUUGUGAAGUCAUACUCGCUGUAUUUACCUAAUUAAUAAUUAUGUUAAUUAGGCUUUUAAAAGAUAAAAAUAAUAGCCACCUUGAGUGAUUUCCUAGGAACUGUUGUUCAUCCUAUUUCUACUGUACUGGGGCUGGAAAUAAGAGAAAGCUUCCUGUCGUUAGUGCUAAGGUUGAUUUCAGCAAUAAAGGAAACUGACUCAUAUUUUGUUUGUUUGUUUUUUCCCUGUGCAAACACAAUUCCCUGUGAUAACUUUGUGUGAGACUACUAAAUAAACAGCUUAAUAAAGAAAAGGAAUUGGAAGCUUCCUUCAACAAUGAAAUGGAUCUGCAUUCACAGUCACCCUGGGAUGGAGCAUCAUGGAGGAAAAACACACCAAAGGAUGUGAACUGUUAGAAGGCGACAGGGUGACCAAAGGAGGUAUCCUGGAGGAUACACACUAAACCCAUUCAGAAGUGGAAACUGUGGUCUCCCUUUUUGUAAGUCUGAAGGAACAAAGUCAAAUACAUCAUUUAUUGCAAGUUCUUCUUUCUGCUUGAAUGACGGUGUCCAUUUUCUGGAUACAGAGACAGAAUAGAGAGGUGAAAAUGAAGUGCCUGUCUCACCCUGUGAGCAUGCAAGGUGACGAUGAUGAAAUUUCACUUUCUGAUCCUUGAUUGUCCACCUUAAUCACAGGCCCAAACAUUCCAGCUUCAUUGAGAAGCUGAUUGCUCAUGAAUGUCACCCACCCGCCAAGUCUCCUACAGAA